rnacentral:rRNA from 1 species
UACGUAGGGUGCAAGCGUUGUCCGGAAUUAUUGGGCGUAAAGAGCUCGUAGGCGGUCUGUCGCGUCGGAUGUGAAAACCCAGGGCUCAACCCUGGGCCUGCAUUCGAUACGGGCAGACUAGAGUUCGGUAGGGGAGACUGGAAUUCCUGGUGUAGCGGUGAAAUGCGCAGAUAUCAGGAGGAACACCGGUGGCGAAGGCGGGUCUCUGGGCAAUAACUGACGCUGAGGAGCGAAAGCGUGGGGAGCGAACAGG